ensembl:lncRNA
GGAUUUCUAUAUUUUUCCAAUAAUGUUUUCCAGCCAACAGACUAUGCAUGGACUAGUGAAUACUGGGCCAGUGCUCAAAUCAGAUGGCAUCAGCAGCUGCAAACUCAGAUCUAUCCUUGCCCUUCCUGAGGCCUGGCUUUGAUUACUGGGCCCCCCACCACGAGCCAACACAUGGCCAUGAGCGCAUACCAACUCAGUGCACAACCUCUGAGCAACCACUUGGAAACAAUCAAGAGUGAAAGUCACAGUCCCGGAGGAAACUGUUGGAAUCAUUUGACAGCUGUGUUUGAAGAGCUUCUUUGCACGAGUUUUGAUGGAGGUUGUGACUUCUGCCAUUCUGCUACCUGUUGA